GGUACAACCCUCCGAAAGGGGGGCUGAUACCGCGUACAUCCCCUGGGGGCAUCCCCGGGGGAGGAAAGCCCUUUUGGGCGGGCGGGGAUGGGCAUGCGGCGCAUUAGGAAGACGGCGGUGUGACGGACCACCGUUCCGACGAUGCGUAGGGGUUCUGAGAGGAAGGCCCCCCACACUGGUACUGAGACACGGACCAGACUCCUACGGGAGGCAGCAGUGAGGAAUAUUGGUCAAUGGCCGGAAGGCUGAACCAGCCAAGCCGCGUGAGGGAGGAAGGCGCAGAGCGUCGCAGACCUCUUUUGCCGGGGGACAAAAGGCCGGACUCGUCCGGUCCUGAGGGUACCCGGAGAAAAAGCAUCGGCUAACUCCGUGCCAGCAGCCGCGGUAAUACGGAGGAUGCGAGCGUUAUCCGGAUUCAUUGGGUUUAAAGGGUGCGCAGGCGGGCCUUUAAGCCGGCGGUGAAAUCGCGGGGCUCAACCCCGCCGAGCCGUCGGAACUGGGGGCCUUGAGUGCGGCGGAGGCAUGCGGAAUGCGCGGUGUAGCGGUGAAAUGCAUAGAUAUCGCGCAGAACCCCGAUUGCGAAGGCAGCGUGCCGUGCCGCCACUGACGCUGAGGCACGAAAGCGCGGGGAUCGAACAGGAUUAGAUACCCUGGUAGUCCGCGCCGUAAACGAUGGAUAAAGGGUGUCCGGGGCGUUCAGGCCCUGGGUGCCGGAG
rnacentral:rRNA from 1 species